CGCAUCUGUGCAUGCAGCAUAUCAAUAAGCGGAGGAAAAGAAACUAACAAGGAUUCCCCUAGUAACGGCGAGUGAAGCGGGAAGAGCUCAAAUUUGAAAUCUUAAAGGGUUUCCCUUUACGAAUUGUAGUUUAAAGAAGUGUUCUCUGUUGAGGUUUUGGUAAAAGUUCUUUGGAAUAGGACAUCAUAGAGGGUGAGAAUCCCGUAUUUGACCUUUACUUUCAACUUUGUGAUACACUUUCAAAGAGUCGGAUUGUUUGGGAAUGCAGUCCAAAAUGGGUGGUAAAUUUCAUCUAAAGCUAAAUAUUGGCGAGAGACCGAUAGCGAACAAGUACCGUGAGGGAAAGAUGAAAAGAACUUUGAAAAGAGAGUUAAACAGUACGUGAAAUUGUCAAAAGGGAAGCGUUUGACACCAGUGUUGUUUUUCUGAAAAUCAAUUAAAGAACUGUUUAUGCUAAGCUGUUUAGACUUUAUCAGCUAUCUGUUUAGUUUUGAGCUUUUCUUUAAUGCACUUUCCAGUUAACAAGUCUACAUCAAUUUCUUUUGCUGUAAAAAAGCUUGAGGAAGGUGGCUUGAGAUUCGUCUUAAGUGUUUAUAGCCUCUUGCCUAUGCAGUCGGAGAGAUUGAGGUCUGCAGCGUAGAUCCUUCGGGGCUAAAUGCAUUUGUGCUAAGUUAUAGCAUUUUAUAGACAACUUGUUGACUAUGAUUUGUCUUGUAGCUUACUCGCUUAUGUUAUUUUACCUACGCUUAGGAUGUUGAUAGUCACAGCGUGUAC
rnacentral:rRNA from 1 species